GCACCCGUAGCUCAAUUUGGAUAGAGCAACACACUCCUAACGUGUAGGUUGUUGGUUCAAUUCCGACCGGGUGCG
rnacentral:tRNA from 1 species